UACGAAGGGGGCUAGCGUUGUUCGGAUUUACUGGGCGUAAAGCGCACGUAGGCGGAUCUUUAAGUCAGGGGUGAAAUCCUGGAGCUCAACUCCAGAACUGCCCCUUGAUACUGGGGAUCUUGAGUCCGGAAGAGGUGAGUGGAACUCCGAGUGUAGAGGUGAAAUUCGUAGAUAUUCGGAAGAACACCAGUGGCGAAGGCGGCUCACUGGUCCGGUACUGACGCUGAGGUGCGAAAGCGUGGGGAGCAAACAGG
rnacentral:rRNA from 1 species